ensembl:lncRNA
CUCUCUCUGUCCUCACCUCUCUCUCUCUGUCCUCCUCACCUCUCUCUCUCUGUCCUCACCUCUCUCUCUCUGUCCUCACCUCUCUCUCUCUCUGUCCUCACCUCUCUCUCUCUGUCCUCACCUCUCUCUGUCUCUGUCCUCACCUCUCUCUGUCCUCACCUCUCUCUCUCUCUGUCCUCACCUCUCUCUGUCUCUGUCCUCACCUCUCUCUGUCUCUGUCCUCACCUCUCUCUGUCUCUGUCCUCACCUCUCUCUCUGUCCUCACCUCUCUCUGUCUCUGUCCUCACCUCUCUGUCUCUCUGAUAAUGUAUGUAGUCUUUCUCUUCUGAAACUAAUAUCUGAAGCUCAUCUAGUCAGUGGUAUAAUAAAGGAACAAAUCAAAUAUGACAGGAAUCAAUGGAAUCUAAGACAAGACCAUGACCAUCCUUUCUCAUAUUUAAAUAAGCUAGUUUGCAUGUUAAAGUCGUUAUUUCCAGUUACAGCAGUAACUGUUCUGGGGUCAUAUUGUGGUGAUUGGACAUGGUUCAUACUGCCUGCUUGGUUGACAGGGGCUGUGAGAGUUAAUGGAGAGAUGAGUGAAGGAAGAUGUAGGACGGAGCACAGAAAAGCACCUCUAACAGGUUCCAGGGUUCUAGUGAGAGUGUCAAGAGAGACACAGAGCUCAUUUUAAAGUAUAGAUGGGCCGUCUUAUGUUGCCACGGCUUGGUAGUGUUUUUCACUAAAGCUUUUUGAGUUGAUGAUUGAGAACACGGGAGAAAGGAAGUACCUUUUUUUAUUAGGUUUUACACUUCUGAUAUCUUCUCACCAAUCAGACUGGCUGAGGGGAAACAGUAUGGAACUACAACAGAACACUUACAUCCAGUGUGGAACUACAAUUCCCAAUAUUCACAGCUCCAGAGACCGAUUACCACCAUCACUCUCUCAAGGUGUCCCGUGUCACAACUGUUGACAUAAUGGGUCUCUCCCAACAACUCCAUUAAUUAACCACAAUGCCUUGCAUCACACUCCAGGAGGAACUAGUGUGAAUAGAACGUAAGAUUACAAAUGUAGUUCCAUUGCCAAAUAUUAACUAGCAGUCCCAUUCUGAUCUUUUGACCAAUUAGUGGCAAAAGAUCUGACCUGAUUGGUCAAAAGAUCAGUUAGUGUCAAAACCCCCAGAAUGAGUCUGCCUGUAUAAACACAGCCUAUGAGCGAGUAGAGAGACCCUCUGACUGGGUGUGUCCUAAACAGCACUCUUUUUCCUAUAUAGUGCACUACUUUUGACAAAAGCCCUAUAGGUGUGUAUCUGUGGGUGCUGAGGUGUAGACAGGGCUGUUAUCUGUAGUUAUCUGUAGAGGGGGACUCUACAUUAGAUGGGCAUCCAUUUUGUUUCUGGUGCUAGUUUCAGUAAAGUUCGGUUUAAUCACAAAACCAUUUCCUCAAUUCCUCGUUUCCUUUCCUUGGUUCUUCUCUAAUUCUUUGCCCGCUUCUGUCAGAUGUUUUGAGGAGGAGAGAGAGAGAGAGGACAUAGGGGAGGGAAUCAGGAAAAUACCUUUUGAGAUCCACCCUUUCAGAGUGUCUUUCAGAACCCUGUGGGCCGGGAGUGGAGAGGUGGUGGUAGUCAGUUCUUCAGGGUAUGUGCAUGUGAUGUGCAUGUGAUGUAACAUGUGAUGUAACAUCCACCCAAUCAGUGACUUCCUAUGUAACGCCCUUUGACGCCAUCUUUGAACUUCUUUACUUCAUCAAUUAAUGAUCUUCUUUCUGUCUGACUUCUUUAAAGUCAUUUUAAGGUUAUAUUGAAUAAAUAUCUUGUUCUUCUCUUGUC